CCCCGCACAAAAUAUUACUCAUAUAUUGUAUUUCUCGUUCUCAAUAAACACCGCACAAAAUAUUACUCAUAUAUUGUAGUUCUCGUUCUCAAUACUGAACCCCGCACAAAAUAUUAUACUCAUAUAUUGUAUUUCUCGUUCUCAAUAAACCCCGCACAAAAUAUUACUCAUAUAUUGUAUUUCUCGUUCUCAAUAAACACCGCACAAAAUAUUACUCAUAUAUUGUAUUUCUCGUUCUCAAUAAACACCGCACAAAAUAUUACUCAUAUAUUGUAGUUCUCGUUCUCAAUACUGAACCCCGCAC
rnacentral:lncRNA from 1 species